UACGUAGGGUGCAAGCGUUGUCCGGAAUUAUUGGGCGUAAAGAGCUCGUAGGCGGUUUGUCGCGUCGAAUGUGAAAACCCGGGGCUCAACCCCGGGCCUGCAUUCGAUACGGGCAGACUAGAGUUCGGUAGGGGAGUCUGGAAUUCCUGGUGUAGCGGUGAAAUGCGCAGAGUAUCAGGAGGAACACCGGUGGCGAAGGCGGGACGUCUGGGCCGAUACUGACGCUGAGGAGCGAAAGCGUGGGAGCGAACAGG
rnacentral:rRNA from 1 species